GGCCAGACUCCUACGGGAGGCAGCAGUGGGGAAUAUUGCACAAUGGGGGGAACCCUGAUGCAGCGACGCCGCGUGGGUGAAGGAGUAUUUCGGUAUGUAAAGCUCUAUCAGCAGGGAAGAAGAUGACGGUACCUGACUAAGAAGCCCCGGCUAACUACGUGCCAGCAGCCGCGGUAAUACGUAGGGGGCAAGCGUUAUCCGGAUUUACUGGGUGUAAAGGGAGCGUAGACGGCGAUGCAAGCCAGAUGUGAAAGCCCGGGGCUCAACCCCGGGACUGCAUUUGGAACUGUGUGGCUGGAGUGUCGGAGAGGCAGGCGGAAUUCCUGGUGUAGCGGUGAAAUGCGUAGAUAUCAGGAGGAACACCGGCGGCGAAGGCGGCCUGCUGGACCGCGACUGACGUUGAGGCUCGAAAGCGUGGGGAGCGAACAGGAUUAGAUACCCGAGUACA
rnacentral:rRNA from 1 species